GAAUCAACUGAACGAAAUUUAUGCAAACACGUCUGAAUUUCAUAUAAACAUGACAUAUUUUAUUACAUUUACAUUAACUAAGUGGUGCUCGUUCAGCUCUAGAAGUGUAACCAAUACACUUAAUGUAUGAUCUCCAACGUAUGUUUCCGGUGUCCGGCUAUGAGCCCAUGAAGCUUUGUCUUCUUCAACACCAUCUCGGCGCUCUCCCGCUCCAGCUCUGUAACGUACUCCAGAGCCUUGGAAAGUAAAGUUACCCCCCUCCACGUCGCCGCCAAGUGACUAAUCAGCUGCCGAUGCUGAGCUAACCAAGCUUGGCGUCGACGAGAGGGGAGGAGUGGUGGCCUUCCUGGGACACGAGCGACGACGACCUACCGUGCACUACUCUUUCUCGUUGCCGGCAACGUCCGCGGACGUGCUGGCUUCGUGGUCAUCACGGUAGGGUGCGACAUCAUCGAUGUCCUCCUCCUCCUCCUUGGUCUCACCGCACACCGCCUCGCCCACGUCAUCGCACUCUUUGUAGGCGGUCGCCGCUAUUGGGGAACGUUGCGUGGGAAACAAAAAAAUUCCUACGAACACCCAAGAUCUAUCUAUGGAGAUGCAUAGCAACGAGAGGGAAGAGUGUGUCUACGUACCUUCGUAGAUCGUUAAGCGGAAGCGUUCAAAAUGCGGUUGAUGUAGUCGUAUGUCUUCACACGAUCCAAUCGCGGUCCAUCCCGAUCAAGCACCGAAGGGACGACACCUCCACGUCCAACACACGUGCGGCUCGGUGACGUCGCCGCCUCCUUGAUCCAACAAGCAAGAGAGGAGAAGUAGAUGUGAUCUCAACAAACACAACGGCAUGAUGAAGAUGGUGGUGGAGCAGUGCCAGCAGGGCUUCGCCAAGCGCCUCCGGAACUACGAAGGAGGAAGAACGGGAUAGACGGGAGGGAGAGGGCUGCCUCAAGGGAG
rnacentral:lncRNA from 1 species